rnacentral:misc_RNA from 1 species
UCCGAGUUGACCCCGGCAGUCUCCCAUGAGUCCCCGCCAUAACGCGCUGGCAACUGGGAGCGGGGGUUGCGCUCGUUGCGGGACUUAACCCAACAUCUCACGACACGAGCUGACGACAGCCAUGCAGCACCUGUCUUGGGACUCCGAAGAGCGUCGCUGGUUUCCCAGCGACUUCCCCAAGAUGUCAAGCCCAGGUAAGGUUCUUCGCGUUGCGUCGAAUUAAACCACAUGCUCCACCGCUUGUGCGGGCCCCCGUCAAUUCCUUUGAGUUUCAGCCUUGCGGCCGUACUCCCCAGUCGGGGCACUUAAUGCGUUAGCGCCGGCACCCAGGGGGUCGCUCCCCCAGGCACCUAGUGCCCAUCGUUUACGGCGUGGACUAC